AAUGAGAUAUGCUUGUGUCGUGGGUUGGGAUUUAGCUGUAAAGCUAUGGAGUGCUAAAAAUCAGCUGCAAAUCUAAACAAAGGACCAACAUUACAUUACUGCGACUUGACUUUACCACGUUUUGUAAUGCUGAUUUCACACUUGCCCACUCUCCGUAUUUGAUAUCCAAGUGUUUGUAACUAGCCCGUUGUACGGAUGACCAGAAAUUGUCUGGUUCGAUUUGAAUUCAAAACGAAAUGGGUCCUGGCCUUUUAACUUCGAGCUGAUGGAUUGGGCUGGGUCCUUAAAGAUAAAGUGGAGUAGACUCAAAAUAUGUUAGGUCGACUAGCCAUAUUAGAAUAGCUACUUUUAUGUUUUCUCUUUGUGUGUAUUAGCUGCUAGGUUCUUGAUUUUUGAAGUUUCUUGGAGAUUUGAAGUGGGCUUUCUUGGCUGAUUGUGUUGCUUAUCUUGGUUUUUCGGGUGAGAUUUGAUCUUUUUGGUGUUUGGUUUCUGGGGUCUUUUGAAAGUUUGACUUUGGGGGUUUAAAGAGUGUGGGAUGAUCGUUGAAGCUGCUGAGACUUAAACUUCAUCUUAUAACGUCCUGGAUGAGAGAACAACGCACAAGCCGUGAAGAACCUCAGGCACAAAAUGGACUCUCACGUCUCCAGCUCUCUCAAAAUCGCUAAACAAGUCAAAUCAAAUCUCCAGGCUCUCUUUGUACAUUCGUUCUUAUAAAACCUGUGAACUGAACUCUUGUGUCAGCGGAAUUCACUGAUCUCAUCUGUUCAUGGGUAUGUCUCUUCUUGAUUUUUGAUAUUUCUUACGUGAACAAUAUGAUAUGGUAUGCCCUUCUAUUACAAUUAUUUACAAUAUUCUUUCUUUUUCUCAUGAUUUUGAGUGGAAUUGCGAGAGGUGUUGAUUUUAAUCUUGUUUGUUUGUUUGUUUAAUCCAUGUGUUUUGUUUGGUUUUUGGUGUUUUUGGCGAUUUUUCAUGUUACAUGUGAUACGCUUCGUUGUUCGCUUCGCAUACGACGAGACAACUUGAUCAACUUGAUCGAUAGCAUAGCGGUGGUGGCAGAUGGUGGCGGUGACGACGGUUUCAGAAAGGAAUGUGCGCUAAUUGUGCCUUAAUUGAAGGCGGAUUCUUGGAAGAAGGCCGGUUUUCUUUUCGGACAUUAAAGUUUUAUUGUCUAAAUUUCCCCGGUCAUCUUGCAUGUCCGACGGUUAGAUAAUAAGCUUUCUUGAAUGAAAGAAUUAUCACGGUGAAUUGCCGAUUCUCGUUGA